AAUUUUGGGAACCAGGAACUGAAGAGGUUUUAAAGAAUCUUUCAAAGAUUUUUCUUCCCUAAUCAUCGCAUAUUGUUGUUUUGGGUGGAUAUUAUAACAAUCUCUUCAGGAAAAAAGAAUCCAUAUCAUUCCUUCUUCUUAAUACCCCCGACGAUUGGGUUCUGCUUCAUCGAUACACACCGUGCGGCAAAUCGACGACUUUAAUCAAAGGAAUCCAAGCAUAGGGAAAUGGUGUUCUUAACGGAGUCUGGAAUCGGUCUAAUGUACUUACAAUUGAAAGAUUUCCAACCUAGUGUGUGGAUGGGAGAUGCGAUUCAGUGCUUAAUUAUGAAGAGGUUAACAGAAAAAAGCGAACUAGUCCACGUCUUUUCUGCCACACAGUUUGUUUUAAUGAAGAUGUGUUAUGUAACACUGAGUAUGAUGAUGCGGAACAAUUGGAUAAGUUCAGUAGUAGUUUGGAUAAGUUCAGUAGUAGUGCUCUGUUGAUGGUGUAUAAUUUCAAGGAAUAAUACCGAAAAGGCUGGAAAUUGAAUGGGCGACAGUUGGCAAUAGUGUUGAUUGUGGGGUGUUCGCCAUGCGACACAUGGAAACUUGGUUUGGAGAAACGGAAUUAAAUGGGAUAGUGGGUUCCCGCUUGAGCAUACUCCAAAAAAGUCAUGUUUAACCCGGUUAAGGAAGAAGUAUGUUGUGAAGAUUGUGUGCUCUCAUGCUAACACGCUCCUCGAUCAAGUCAUGGCUGAAGCGGUGCAUACAAGGUGGCGAAUAGACUUAAUGUUUAAAACGUUCGAUGUAGACAAUAAUAUGUUUAUGACUAUGUGUUUUGAUUUUCCGAUAUGUCGGUACGUGGAUAGUUUGGUUUAUUUUUUAUGAUGGAAACUGGAAGUUUGGUUGUUUGAUUGUUAUUCUGGUUUUGGCUUUUUUUGGGAACA